rnacentral:lncRNA from 1 species
AAGUCAUGUCAGCAACAGAAUCUGUGGAAGAACUCUGGAGAAGCGAAGAUACCGGAUAUUGGUGACCUGGGAGGAUUUAGGAAGCAGCAAAUGGAUGGACGCAGUAAGACUAAAGUUCAAAGAUAAAAGAGAAGCAUCUGUCAACUGAUGAAGGAACUGUCUUUACAGAAAAUAAGAAGACACACAGAGACAACUGGGAGAAAGCCAUGUGAAGAUGGAGACAGAGAACAAAGGUCUAUUGCCACAAGCCAGGGAAGACCAAGAGCCACCAGAAUAUGGAAGAGACAAGGAAGGAUCCUCCCCUAGAGACUUCGAAGGGAUUGUGGCCCUGCUGACACCUUGACUUCAAACUUCUAGCCUCAAAAAUGUUAGAAAACAAACUACUGUCAUUUUAAACCACCCAAUUUGUAGUAGUUUCUUAUGGCAGUCGUUGUAAACUAAUACACUCAUUAAGUUGGUUCCUUUUGAAAACUGAGGGAAAAAAUGUUUUUCUUCUUGCUUUUGCUUUCUUGUGCAUAAAUAUCAAAAACUAAUUCAUAUAACACUAUAAAACAUAAUUUGGACAGAUUGAAGAAUUUAUAAUAUUUAACCCCCAAAACAAGUUCAAAUUUUAGCUAUUGUAAACAUA